CUUGCUUUCUCCGCCGGCGACCGGCGCACGGGUGAGUAACACGUAUGCAACCUGCCCCUGUCAGGGGGACAACCCGCCGAAAGGCGGGCUAAACCCGCGUACAUGCCACCGGGGCAUCCCGGAGGCAGGAAAGGCUUCGGCCGGACAGGGAUGGGCAUGCGGCGCAUUAGGCAGUAGGCGGGGUACGGCCCACCUAACCGACGAUGCGUAGGGGUUCUGAGAGGAAGGUCCCCCACACUGGUACUGAGACACGGACCAGACUCCUACGGAAGGCAGCAG
rnacentral:rRNA from 1 species